GUGCCAGCCGCAGCGGUAAUACGGAGGGUGCAAGCGUUAAUCGGAAUUACUGGGCGUAAAGCGCACGCAGGCGGUUUGAUUAAGUCAGAUGUGAAAUCCCCGGGCUCAACCCGGGAACUGCAUCUGAUACUGGUCAGCUGGAGUCUCGUAGAGGGAGGUAGAAUUCCAGGCGUAGCGGUGAAAUGCGUAGAGAUCUGGAGGAAUACCAGUGGCGAAGGCGGCCUCCUGGACGAAGACUGACGCUCAGUGCGAAAGCGUGGGGAGCAAACAGGAUUAGAUACCCUGGUAGUCCACGCUGUAAACCGAUGU
rnacentral:rRNA from 1 species